CAAAGUGAAUCUAAAUGUGUCUGGGCCACCCAGGUUGUGUAUAAGUGUGAUUGUCUUGGCCACUAAAAGUGAAUCUAAAUGUAUCUGGGCCACCCAGCUGGAGUCUAAGUGUGAUUGUCUUGGCCAUUUAAAGUGAAUCUAAGUGUGACUGGGCUACCCAGAGUGUCUUAAGUGUGAUUGUCUUGGCCACCCAACGUGAGUCUUAAUUGUGAUUGUCUUUGGCCACCCAGAGUGUCUUAAGUGUGAUUGUCUUGA